UGUUUCAGCGGAUGAAGGUCUCCCGCUUGUCGAGCAUAGCCAAGCUGGCAGCCAGCCCCCCCCCCCCCCCCCCCCCCAUUGUGAUUUUGCUGCCUCCACACGCUCCUGCACUGCGCCACCAUGGACCCCGCUGCAAAGGCUGCGAGUGAGCUGAACACCAUCUUUGGCCGCCUAGGGGUUCUGUGCGAGGUUUGCGUGACAAGCGCGGAAGGCAAACACGUGAAGGCGACCGCAAGCCUGGAGGAGGGCUUUGCACUGUUCGAGGAGCUGCCCAUUGUGUCAUGGCCGUCUCCUUCGCUGCUGGCGCUGUCCACUCCUUUCUGUUUCCAAUGCCUCUCUCUCAGCAGCCACCAACAAUCGGCUUCUGAGACAGACGCGGAAUCUCCAUCGCCCGCCAGUUCGGCUGCGCUUCCCAAGUCGUGGUCGCAGUGCGCUCACUGUGCGUCCUACUUCUGCUCUCCCGAGUGCCAGCAGGCCAGCUCACGCGUGCAUCGCUUGCUAUGUUCCUGUCUACCUGUAGUGCGGGAGAGCCACGUUGGCAGAGACGGGUCUGGCGAUGCUGAGGACGUCAAGCUGACGGCGACCCAGUCCCUCUCUUCCGCCCCCUCCUCGCUCGCGUCGUCCACGACAUCAUCCGAGAUUACCUUGGAGGCCCUCGCCCGCUGCGUCGCCUGGAUCACCCACCGCCUCUCCUACGUCAUUGAACAGCAGCAGCUAGCGCACGAAGUCCUCCAGGCAGACUACGUCUUUCAGCAGAAGCGGCAGGCUGGCGACUCUGCCCGUGGCGCCACCUGGUCCACCGCCUCCCUGAUCUAUCAACUCUUCACCCAAGUCGUCGCGCCGUUCAGCCGACUCAUCAGCCCGCCGGACAACGUGGAGUUCGACGGUGCGUCGCUCGCCUCCUGGAUGGCUAAGCUGCGCCUCUUGUUGGCCGAGCAGUGUGCCACGCAGCUACUCGUUGCCAGUGGUGCGCCGUUGUCCGAUGCUCGACGGCACACGCUGGUGUUCGACGAGCACCAGCAGCAGCAGGCGGUGCCGGCGCCGACUUUACUGUGGGCUGAGGCUCUUGUGCAGGUAAUCUUCAGCACCGACACGCUCCGAACCCUAGUUGGUCAGAUGGUGCUGAACGCGCACGCCAUCAACGACUAUGUGCUGCCGCCUGGCGAAGCGCUGUCCACUGGCGUGUUUGACUGGGUCUUGAAGGGUGCCGGCCUCUACUCCCUACUGUCGUGCUUCAACCAUUCCUGCGUGCCCAAUGCCGCCGUCAGCACCGUGGAUGGAACGCACGAGAUUGUGCUCAAGACGACGCGGCCCAUCCGGGCCGGCGAGCCGCUGACAAUCACUUACAUUCCGCUAACUGCCGGUGCCGCGUCCCGCGCGGAGCGGCAGCGGCGACUGAGGAACUACUUCUUCACCUGCCACUGCCCGCGGUGCGACGCGGAGGCGGCGGCGUCCGCUGCGUUGACCGGAGGCGGCAAUGCCGUCUAGACAUCUGCGCCAUUCAAUGCAGCAGAAUGUGGCGAGACGCUACUGCCCCGCCUUAUUUCCCGCAUAGCCGUUGGGUGUCUGCUCCCUCCGCCCUUGUGAGUCUCCUAGCACUGCCUUCAGCAGGGACUGUCAUUGCAUCGGUCAUCUGCGUGUUGCCGGUUGUAUGUGCUCCCUUAAGCCCCUACCCCUCCCCUGCCUCCCACUCACUUCGCCUGCCGCUUAAUCUCGAAGAAGGUGAUGUGACUCGCGUGUAAGGGACGGGAGGUAAAGCGUAAAGAGAAAAGAAAAGCACGAGACGAGAGAAUAAGCACGCGCGCAGAGACAUCGACGCAAGGCAUGUGAGCAUCACACACACACACACACACACACACACACGAAACCCCCAUCCUCCCUGAUCAAACAGAAAACAUAACUUUGAUUCACUCGCACGUGGUGCGCUUCCCCUCACUCUCCCUCCCUCUCUGCGUCUCGUCACUUCCCC
rnacentral:misc_RNA from 1 species